rnacentral:miRNA from 1 species
UGAGGAUUGCGGCUCGUGUGCA